UGAAGCUGUUUCUUUCCGGGUCCAGUGCCUGCUGCGAGCAACGCGCUGUUCUAGGGGCGAAGCCAAGAACUACUUCUCGUGGAGCUGAGGUUCAGCGGUGUGUGUGUGGGACACUCACAAUAAACAUCAUAAAUAAGUAAAUUCUAUAAGAGGCUGCGUAGCAAAAUGGAGUCUGCAUCCAGAUUUAUUGCGUUUCAAUCCCAGAUUUUCCACUUACUAGCUGUGUUAUCCCGAGCAAAUUGCUUCAUCCUUCUGUGCUUCACUUUCCUCCUCAGUUAAAUGAGGAUCAUCAUAGUGUCUACUUCAGAGUUGGUGUGAGAGUUGAAUGAGGAUACUCUCUGUGAGCCCAGCUGCUAUGUUGUGAGGAAGCCCAAGCCACGUGAGGAGUCUCCCAGAUAAGGUCCCAGCUGAAACCAGCAUCAACCACCAGAGAAGUGAGUGAACAUUGAGAUGAUUCCGGCCCCCAGGCUUUGAGCCGUCCCAGCUGACACCAAGAGGAGGAGAGAGAGAACUGUUCCCAUCAAGCCCGGCCCAAACUUAACUACUUCCUCAAGUCCAUGGGCAACACUCAACUUGAGCUAAGAACGGGGAGUAAACACUCAGCAGAAGCAAAGCACAUAGAAUGGAUAAGACAUUGGCCAUGAAUGCUUCCGACGGCGCCCCAGCCCAGUCGGGCCAGGCGGAUUCCUGAGCGGGGAGCUCCAACUCCCAUGGGGAACCAAGAGCAAACACCGGGUUUUUACAUGAAUCUCCAGAUUGUUUUUUAAACCGUGUCAAUAAAUUCACAUCAA